GGCGACCCUGAUGAGGCCGAAAGGCCGAAACCGU
rnacentral:hammerhead_ribozyme from 1 species